GUGGGUAUAGUUUAAUAAAAACUUUAGGUUGUGAUCCUAAAUAUGAGAGCUAAUUUCUCUACUCACC
rnacentral:tRNA from 1 species